rnacentral:rRNA from 1 species
UACAUGUGGGGCAAGCGUUGUUCGGAAUUACUGGGCGUAAAGAGCUCGUAGGUGGUUUGUCGCGUUGUUCGUGAAAACUCACGGCUUAACUGUGGGCGUGCGGGCGAUACGGGCAGACUGGAGUACUGCAGGGGAGACUGGAAUUCCUGGUGUAGCGGUGGAAUGCGCAGAUAUCAGGAGGAACACCGGUGGCGAAGGCGGGUCUCUGGGCAGUAACUGACGCUGAGGAGCGAAAGCGUGGGGAGCGAACAGG